GGAUGCGAUCAUACCAGCACUAACGCACCGGAUCCCAUCAGAACUCCGAAGUUAAGCGUGCUUGGGCGAGAGUAGUACUAGGAUGGGUGACCCCCUGGGAAGUCCUCGUAUUGCAUCCC
rnacentral:rRNA from 1 species